rnacentral:rRNA from 1 species
AACACCGGAUUAGGAAAUCCAACUGGAAUGUGGAUUUCCUCAAAAGCAAUGCCUAAGGAUGAGUCGGCGGCGGAUUAGGUUGUUGGUGAGGUAACGGCUCACCAAGCCGAAGAUCCGUAGGGGCCUUGAGAGAGGUAGCCCCGAGAAGGGCACUGAGAUACUGGCCCUAGCUCCACGGAGUGCAGCAGGCGCGAAAACUUUACAAUGCGCGAAAGCGUGAUAAGGGAACCCCAAGUGGUGAUGCAAAGCAUCAUCUUUUGCUUAGAGCAAAUAUCUAAGCGAAUAAGUGGUGGGCAAUACCUGUGCCAGCCGCCGCGGUAACCCAGGAGCCACAAGUGGCAACCACCUUUAUUGGGCCUAAAGCGUCCGUAGCCUGUUCUGUAAAUUUUCUGUGAAAUCGUUGCGCUUAACGUAACGGCGAGCAGAAAACACUGCAAGACUAGGGACCGGGAGGAGUUAGGGGUAUUUCUGGGGGAGCGGUAAAAUGCUAUAAUCCCAGAAGGACCACCUGUGGCGAAGGCGCCUAACUAGAACGGAUUCGACGGUGAGGGACGAAAGCUAGGGGAGCAAUCCGGAUUAGAUACCCGAGUAGUCCUAGCUGUAAACUCUGCGGGCU